CUCGUAGGUGGUUGUGCAAGACAGGUGUGAAAUCCCCGGGCUUAACCUGGGAACUGCACUUGUGACUGCACGGCUGGAGUACGGCAGAGGGGGAUGGAAUUCCGCGUGUAGCAGUGAAAUGCGUAGAUAUGCGGAGGAACACCGAUGGCGAAGGCAAUCCCCUGGGCCUGUACUGACGCUCAUGCACGAAAGCGUGGGGAGCAAACAGGAUUAGAUACCCCAGUA
rnacentral:rRNA from 1 species